rnacentral:rRNA from 1 species
AGUGAACGCUGGCGGUAGGCCUAACACAUGCAAGUCGAACGGCAGCACAGUAAGAGCUUGCUCUUACGGGUGGCGAGUGGCGGACGGGUGAGGAAUACAUCGGAAUCUACUUUUUCGUGGGGGAUAACGUAGGGAAACUUACGCUAAUACCGCAUACGACCUACGGGUGAAAGCAGGGGAUCUUCGGACCUUGCGCGAGUGAAUGAGCCGAUGUCGGAUUAGUUAGUUGGCGGGGUAAAGGCCCACCAAGGCGACGAUCCGUAGCUGGUCUGAGAGGAUGAUCAGCCACACUGGAACUGAGACACGGUCCAGACUCCUACGGGAGGCAGCAGUGGGGAAUAUUGGACAAUGGGCGCAAGCCUGAUCCAGCCAUACCGCGUGGGUGAAGAAGGCCUUCGGGUUGUAAAGCCCUUUUGUUGGGAAAGAAAAGCAGCAGGUUAAUACCCCGCUGUUCUGACGGUACCCAAAGAAUAAGCACCGGCUAACUUCGUG